UACAGAGGUCUCAAGCGUUGUUCGGAUUCAUUGGGCGUAAAGGGUGCGUAGGCGGCGCGGUAAGUCGGGUGUGAAAUCUUGGAGCUUAACUCCGAAACUGCAUUCGAUACUGCCGUGCUUGAGGACUGGAGAGGAGACUGGAAUUUACGGUGUAGCGGUGAAAUGCGUAGAUAUCCGGAGGAACACCGGUGGCGAAGGCGGCUUCCUGGGACCGAUUACUGACGCUGAGGCGCGAAAGCUAGGGGAGCAAACGGG
rnacentral:rRNA from 1 species